GCCAGGCGUGGUGGCUCGUGCCUAUAAUCCCAGCUACUGGGGAGGCUGAGGCAAGAGAAUCGCUUGAACCUGGGAAGCAUAGGUUGCAGUGAGCCGAGAUUGCGCCACUGCACCCUAACCUGGGUGACAGAGCGAGACUUUGUCUCAA
ensembl:misc_RNA Metazoa_SRP Metazoan signal recognition particle RNA